GGAGUUUGGACCGUGUCUCAGUUCCAAUGUGGGGGACCUUCCUCUCAGAACCCCUACUGAUCGUCGGCAUGGUGGGCCGUUACCCCGCCAUCUACCUAAUCAGACGCAUCCUCAUCCAUCGCCGAUAAAUCUUUACUUACUAGGAGAUGUCUCCAUGUAAGACCAUCAGGUAUUAAUCUUUCUUUCGAAAGGCUAUCCCUGAGCCAUGGGUAGAUUGGAUACGUGUUACGCACCCGUGCGCCGGUCGCCACCAGCGGAUGCAAGCAUCCGCCGUGCUGCCCCUCGACUUGCAUGUGUUAAGCCUGUAGCUAGCGUUCAUC
rnacentral:rRNA from 1 species